AAUGGUACCGGCUCGUCGAUCUACUGAGCAAUGUCAUCCGCUCGGUGAAAGAUCUUCCCUUAGUCGU
rnacentral:pre_miRNA from 1 species